UGCUCAAAGUCUGGUAAGCCUCUGUUUUGAGCGAGAAAAUUUGCUAACCAUAAGUCCAUUCGGGUAAGGGUAUAAGUAAAAAUAUUGAGGUGUACCUUUGAAUGAGUCCAAAUGCGUUGAGUCCAAGGGCAAUGCAAGAAAAGGUGUUCGGUAGUUUCUGGGGAGGCAGAGGAACAUAGACCACAGACUGGGGUUUGAAUGAUCUUUCUGCGAUAUAGAUUAUCUCUAGUUGGUAAUGCAUUCUGACAUACUGACCAUAAAAAAUUACGAAUCUUGGGUGAAGUUUGUGCUUUCCAAAUCUUUUGCCAAACAAGUUUGGGUGGUUGGUAGGAAGAUGAAGCCUGAGAGGUAACAUGCUUGUGUGUGGAUUGAUGAAUUACGUUGUAGCCACUCUUGACAGAAGGUUAAAUGUACUAAAAGAUUCUCUGGCCAAAGAAAGAAAUCGUAUUAAAAGAUGCUUAACCCUAUUGUAACAUGAAAAUUCAUACCCAAAGCCUUAGCGUUUCAAGGAUGUUACAAUAGAUUUUUAUUUUUCACUUAAUCUAAAUUUUGUAACUGACGCAAUGUGACGCCUCUUAUCUCAACAAUUGAAACUUCUACAACCUACAAAAUGUCAACACAUGUAGAUUUACGCAUAAUUUUUCAUAAUCUCUUGAAAUGUAGCUAUGCUUUUGCUAAAGCAUAAACACGCGCCCUUGGUCUCUAAAUCACUUUCUGGAUGCUUAUUCCAUGAUGAUCUAAAUCACUUUCUGGAUUCUUACUCCAGGAUGAUCCAAAUCACUUUCUGUAUGCUUAUUCCAGACCUUCCCCAUCGAUCCAACCGUCUGAAACUAAAUUGAAACGUUCAGGCUGCAUAUCUCUGGAAGUAAAAUAAAAGAAAAAAGAAAGAUGAGCAGAAGGGCUUGCCCGUGUUAAGAGUACUUUGUAUAGUACUAGUGAUGAUAAGAACAGAGAAAAGAAAGCUGACGAAAACAGAGGAAAGAAGAAAGAAGACUUCGAGAACAGAGGAAAGAAAGAAGGCGAAAGUGAUGUCAAUAACAGAGAAAAGAAAGCUGACGAAAACAGAGGAAAGAAAGAAGGCAACAACAGAGAUUACAACACGUGUAAAACUGAUUUACCAUUGAGAAAUCAGUAUUCAGUUUUAAGUUUGUAAAGUCAAACUUUAUGUUCUUUUGCUUCAAUUAGUUAGCUGUUCUGUUAGCUAGUUGUUUUCAUUCGGUUGUAAUUCUUCAGUUGAUAUAAAAACUGAUGAGGAAAGAGCAAUUAAGUAGUUAAGCUCUUUGAUGUAAAGCAAGCAUUCAUUGAAUAAGAAUAUUUUUUUCUCUUUGCAUCGUUUUUUCCUUCUCAUUUCCACUUUUUGUUCUGUUCAUCAAAACUCUUCAUGGUAUCAGAGCCAUUUUCCUGAGAGUACAAAUCAACUUUCUUCUUUAUGAGAAGAUGAUGAAUUUGCAGCAGAUUGAAGUCAUAUUCAAGCCUCAUCGAUCGUUGUCUUCUGAUGUUAAUGGUGGUAUGUGAUCUUUAAUUGGGGAUCUGUG
rnacentral:lncRNA from 1 species